rnacentral:rRNA from 1 species
UACGAAGGGGGCUAGCGUUGUUCGGAAUUACUGGGCGUAAAGCGCGCGCAGGCGGUCUUCCAAGUCAGUGGUGAAAGCCUGGAGCUCAACUCCAGAACUGCCAUUGAAACUGUUAGACUUGAGUACGAGAGAGGUGAGUGGAAUUCCCAGUGUAGAGGUGAAAUUCGUAGAUAUUGGGAAGAACACCAGUGGCGAAGGCGGCUCACUGGUCCGGUACUGACGCUGAGGUGCGAAAGCGUGGGGAGCAAACAGG